rnacentral:sRNA from 1 species
UGAAUAGUUUGAAAAUCAAACCGUUGUGC